GAUGAACGCUGGCGGCGUGCCUAAUACAUGCAAGUCGAGCGAACGGACGAGAAGCUUGCUUCUCUGAUGUUAGCGGCGGACGGGCGAGUAACACGUGGUUAACCUACCUAUAAGACUGGGAUAACUUCGGGAAACCGGAGCUAAUACCGGAUAAUAUUUUGAACCGCAUGGUUCAAAAGUGAAAGACGGUCUUGCUUUCACUUAUAGAUUGAUCCGCGCUGCAUUAGUUAGUUGGUAAGGUAACGGCUUACCAAGGCAACGAUGCAUAGCCGACCUGAGAGGGUGAUCGGCCACACGGGAACUGAGACACGGUCCAGACUCCGACGGGAGGCAGCAGUAGAGAAUCUUCCGCAAGGGGCGAAAGCCUGACGGAGCAACGCCGCGUGAGUGAUGAAGGUCUUCGGAUCGUAAAACUCUGUUAUUAGGGAAGAACAUAUGUGUAAGUAACUGUGCACAUCUUGACGGUACCUAAUCAGAAAGCCACGGCUAACUACGUG
rnacentral:rRNA from 1 species